GCUGACUGGUGGCCAACAAAUGAGUAAAGAUCUAAAAAGAGUAACACAACUUAAUGCCUUUGGCGAAACAGCUACAGGUGAAAGGUAGAGUUUGUAACCAGCCAAUGCAAAUACACUGAUUAUGAUGACAGCACCUCCUAUUAGAUCAUAAACACUUGGAAACAUGCGCAGGACAAGAAGCUGAAGGACCAUGGCGACUACAAUUUCUAAGUGCUGGACAGUGCUUACCAAGGCUGGGUGGAAUUUAUACAAUGCAUAAUAAACACCAAGGAAUGCCACAGUGGAACACAAGCAGAUAGCUAUAAGCAAGGACUUGGUACUCCUGCUACUGGGAACAUCAGGUCUGAGAGACACUUCAGCCUAACAACAGGAAAUCUGUGGCCACUUGUUUAGAUGUGGUUACAAAAACAUCACAUUUAUUAAGAAGACAAGUAAGUAAAGCCUCAUCUAGAAUGAAAAGCGAUCUGUCGGUGGGCACCUAUCCUUACUGGUUUCAUUUUUUUAUGAACACCUAAGCAGAUCGCCUAUUAGCCUAUCGGUCUAUCAGUGGGCACCUAUCCUUACAGGUUUCAUUGUUUAAACAUCAACAAAGAAAGGAACAACACUCCACUUCAAUUCUUCUUGCACAAAAACUUCACGACUUUUUAUUCAUAUCAGUGCUUACUCUCAUUGUUGGAGCUGAGCAAACAUUGUGCACCUUCUUAUAGGCUUUAAAAAAUAUUUUUUUUGUUUUUCGAUAAUUUUAUAAGAAAGGGGACACAUUUUUGAUUUAACCACGGCAGUUGUCAGUGGAUUGUAUGUAUGGCCAUUCAGCACUACUGGGAUCCACAGUAACUUAGACCAGUGCUGUCCAACUUCUACGGUGCCGAGGGCCGGAAUUUC